rnacentral:rRNA from 1 species
GCCAGACUCCUACGGGAGGCAGCAGUGGGGGAUAUUGCACAAUGGGGGGAACCCUGAUGCAGCGACGCCGCGUGGGUGAAGAAGUAUUUCGGUAUGUAAAGCCCUAUCGGCAGGGAAGAAAUUGGACGGUACCUGACUAAGAAGCCCUGGCUAACUACGUGCCAGCAGCCGCGGUAAUACGUAGGGGGCAAGCGUUAUCCGGAUUCACUGGGUGUAAAGGGAGCGUAGACGGCCAUGCAAGCCUGGAGUGAAAGCCCGGGGCCCAACCCCGGGACUGCUCUGGGAACUGUGCGGCUGGAGUGCGGGAGGGGCAGGCGGAAUUCCUGGUGUAGCGGUGAAAUGCGUAGAUAUCAGGAGGAACACCGGCGGCGAAGGCGGCCUGCUGGACCGCGACUGACGUUGAGGCUCGAAAGCGCGGGGAGCAAACAGGAUUAGAUACCCUCGUAU